AGGACUUCGAGAUUUGGUGAAGGCGUCAGUCCAACUAUUCAGCCGAGCCGAUUCUCAGCCGAGAUUGGGCGCUUCAUGAAGUAUGCUGGCGUGAAGCUUUGCAGUUCAUACCCUUAUGUCUUAAUUAAACAUGGAUUUUAGGCAGACCUGUUAUAGCUACACGCAAAUUGGAUCAAUGGAAACAGAACAGAGGCAGCUAGAUCUCAGAGAUAACAUCCAACUUAAAGGGAUAGUAAAGAUCAUUUUGUUCAUUUUUG